AGCUUGGAAUUUGAUGUAGUUUUCCUUUACGUUGGAGUAAUCAUUGUUGGCUGUUACUGCUGAAGGCCUGAAGCUUUCAUUUCGGUUGCUGUUGAAGCUUUCUUUUAUGCUGUUGCAUUCCAGUUUAAUAUAUGGGAUAUUUAGAAUGAAGUUUGCUUUUUAGUUUUGAAUGAUGAUUUGAUGUUUCAUGUUUCGAAUAUUG
rnacentral:lncRNA from 1 species